GUUUUUAUGGUGUAAAUCAACACAUUACAUUUUCAUUGUAAAACUGAAUUCUUCUAUUCUAAAAACU
rnacentral:tRNA from 1 species